UGCAUCGGCCGGGAAUCGAACCCUGGCCGCCCGCGUGGCAGGCGAGCAUUCUAUCACUGAACCACCGAUGC